rnacentral:rRNA from 1 species
AUGAACGCUGGCGGCGUGCCUAAUACAUGCAAGUCGCGCGAACGGACGAGAAGCUUGCUUCUCUGAUGUUAGCGGCGGACGGGUGAGUAACCCGUGGAUAACCUACCUAUAAGACUGGGAUAACUUCGGGAAACCGGAGCUAAUACCGGAUAAUAUUUUGAACCGCAUGGUUCAAAAGUAAAAGACGGUCUUGCUGUCACUUAUAGAUGGAUCCGCGCUGCAUUAGCUAGUUGGUAAGGUAACGGCUUACCAAGGCAACGAUGCAUAGCCGACCUGAGAGGGUGAUCGGCCACACUGGAACUGAGACACGGUCCAGACUCCUACGGGAGGCAGCAGUAGGGAAUCUUCCGAAAUGGGCGAAAGCCUGACGGAGCAACGCAGCGUGAGUGAUGAAGGUCUUCGGAUCGUAAAACUCUGUUAUUAGGGAAGAACAUAUGUGUAAGUAACUGUGCACAUCUUGACGGUACAUAAUCAGAAAGCCACGGCUAACUACGUG